rnacentral:rRNA from 1 species
AUACGUAGGUGACAAGCGUUAUCCGGAUUUACUGGGCGUAAAGGGCGUGUAGGCGGUCUUGCAAGUCAGAAGUGAAAUUCCUGAGCUCAACUCGGGCGCUGCUUCUGAAACUGCAGGACUUGAGUGCUGGAGGGGAUAGCGGAAUUCCUAGUGGAGCGGUAAAAUGCGCAGAUAUUAGGAAGAGCACCGGGGGCGAGGGCGGCUAUCUGGACAGUAACGUACGCUGAAGCGCGAAAGCGUGGGGAGCAAACAGGAUUAGAUACCCUGGUAGUCCACGCCGUAAACGAGGAAUACUAGGUGUAGGGGGUAUCGACUCCCUCUGUGCCGCAGUUAACACAAUAAGUAUUCCGCCUGGGGAGUACGGCCGCAAGGUUGAAACUCAAAUGAAUUGACGGGG